rnacentral:snRNA from 1 species
AUACUUACCUUAGUGACGGGCUUUCUGGUGAUAAUGCAGCCAGGCCGGGGCCCCGUGCCGAGGCCUGCCAUUGCACUCCGGUUGGCUGAAGCUACGCCACUUUCCCAAACUGGGAUAGCUGGGACAUUCAACUUUUGGUAGUGGGGCAUGGCGUGCGCGCCAGCCCCC